rnacentral:rRNA from 1 species
AACAAACGCUGGCGGCGUGCCUAAUACAUGCAAGUCGAACGGGGAAAGCUUUCGGGUGAGUACUAGUGGCGCACGGGUGAGGAACGCGUGGAUAAUCUGCCUUAGAGUGGGGGAUAACUAGUCGAAAGAUUAGCUAAUACCGCAUAAGACCACGAGAGCUGCGGCUUUUGAGGUCAAAGGUUUUUCGCUCUAAGAUGAGUCCGCGUAAGAUUAGCUAGUUGGUGAGGUAACGGCCCACCAAGGCGACGAUCUUUAACUGGUCUGAGAGGAUGAUCAGUCACACUGGAAAUGAGACACGGUCCAGACUCCUACGGGAGGCAGCAGUAGGGAAUAUUGCACAAUGGAGGAAACUCUGAUGCAGCGACGCCGCGUGAGUGAUGAAGGCCUUCGGGUCGUAAAGCUCUGUCGCAGGGGAAUAACACAAUGAAGGUACCCUGUAAGAAAGAAUCGGCUAACUUCGUG